UACGGAGGGAGCUAGCGUUGUUCGGAUAUACUGGGCGUAAAGCGCACGUAGGCGGCGCCGUAAGUCAGGGGUGAAAUCCCGGAGCUCAACUCCGGAACUGCCCUUGAAACUGCAGUGCUAGAAUCUUGGAGAGGCGAGUGGAAUUCCGAGUGUAGAGGUGAAAUUCGUAGAUAUUCGGAAGAACACCAGUGGCGAAGGCGACUCGCUGGACAAGUAUUGACGCUGAGGCGCGAAAGCGUGGGGAGCAAACAGG
rnacentral:rRNA from 1 species